GUGUGGCUUCCUCAGGGGCCUGGUUGAUCCACUUCAGAUUCUUCCCCUGUUUUAUUAGAGGUUGAAAAAGGUUCAAGACCUGGUUGUACCACUGCUCCCACCGACAGCUAAGGAACCAGUUUGGCGUCUGGUUUGUCUGUUGUUUUACUGCUGACCUUCAAAUCAACUUUAACCCCUGACCCCUGGAGACAUCUAUCAUGACAAGAGGCUGUUUAACACAAAUGGUGCCCAUUUAUAGGGGAAGAGAGUCAGAAGAUUUCCUUUUUAUGAAGAAUUUGGUUUUUCACCCCUCUUUUCUCAGUCACCACAGGUGAAAUCCCUCCUAGCAGCUGGCUUAUGAAAUAAUGUGAGGGGAGGCCUUAAUGAGCUGAAAGCACCCUCAGCUGGAGAUAAAUAUAUGCAAAUGAGAUGCACAAACAAAGGAGCCUGGACAGAGAAAUAUCUGCAAUUCCAGCAAAAUGCUGCCUGCAGCUAGAAGAUGAACAGCUUUGAUAAAAUGAAUACUGAUCUUCAAAACCAGGAGGGAAAUGAGGGGAUUAAAAAAACCUGUACAAAUGAACCAACUCGCUUUCCUGACACAUACCCUUUUCUGACAAAAAGAAUUUCAACAAGCUUAAGCCACUGCCUGUUGGGGAAGGAUGAUAUAGCAACAACUAAAUGGUUUAGAGAAUUCUAACCAACAUCUUUCCAAGAUGGAUCAAGGACACAAAGUAUUAAUGAAUGGCAGUUCGCAUGCAUUGCAUUUUAGGAACACACCGCAUAAACUACUUAGAACUUGAAAUGGAGAUGCAAUCCCAGAUUAUAUUUUUUUUUUAAAAUCAUAUGGUACUGCAAGAAUGAAAAAGUGUAAAAAAAAAAAAAAAAAAAAAAAAAAGCCUGCAAAUAAUUUACAAACAUCAACCACUCAUUGCCACUCUUACCUUUUUGCAUCUAUUGCCUUGUCUUUUGUUGACUUCACACCAAUGGCAUUUUUCCUGAAAAAUUAUUAUUGGCAUUAUUAAAGCAAAUGUGCAGAUUUUUUAAAAUAUUUUUUUAACCCAAAGCAUCUUACUAUUAAAACAUACAUCUCAAUAAAAGAAAAGUAAAACAUCAACAAGGCACACUUCUCUGUGCCUACCACUACAAACACAAGAUAAAAUAACAGGCUGAGCCAGUGAUUUUAUACCACAGUAGCAAAAUUUCUCAGCACUGUAGUAGUUUUAUUUUCACAACUGAAUGAAUUGUGCUAUAUUAUAGUAACUGGGCUUUAUAAUCUUGCUGCUUUUUUCCUGGCUUGACUAUAACAUUUCAGUAGCUAUAAUCACACUGUAGCACUUCGAUAAAGCACUACACUUUACAUAGCCAUACAUACUUAACCCAACAUGCAGCAAGUUAAAUAAUCAUUAGCACAGUAACCCAUUGCUAUCAAAAACUUAUUGGUCCUCUAAAUUUUAAAUUAAUGGCCUGUCUUCCUAGCUGUGUGCGUCUGAUUUUGAACUGCUUCAGCAUGAAGUCAUGGAUAUAUUAUCAGUAUGUUAGACAAUUUUUAUUAUUGGCAUUUCAAGAUUAAAAAGCCACAAAAGAGAAUGGUUGUUGCUGAAUUGUUUUAUCCCUAGACCUCUGAUUCUAAGACAAACCAGUCUGAGUGCUAAUUAUCAGUCGAUAUUUGACAAACCAACUAUAGUGUUCAUGCCAUAAGCAUAGUCAGGUUAGCAUGCCUAAAAAAAAAAAUUCCACAAAGCUAAGCAAAUGGGUGAAAAAAGUUGAAGACGUAUAAAAUGUCAGCUAAAAAAGGCUGAAUAAUACACCCUACUUUUUUGAAAAUUUAGGAUGCUUUUCCCCUUAAAAAGACCCUUACACUUUUUUUUUUCCUCAAAAUUCACUGUUUUUUAUGAUGGAAUAAUUUUUGGUAAGUUGAAAAUAGUUAUAUAUACAGCAAAUGAAGUUAGCAUCAGUCCUAUUCCAAUUAGAGAUGAAAAAAGAAAACACUUGGAAUGUAACCUAAAGAUGCAAAAUAAAAUGACACAUUAGUGUGAGAAUUGUAAUAUGUUACUAUGUAAAUAUUUUACUAAAAGUUCUCAAACUACAUGCCUGUCUUCCACUUUAUAAAUGAGAGGAUAUUCUAAGGUGCAAGUGAUGCAGCUUAGAUAUAUAUUUCUGACUGGGAUUUUUCAUGAUUAAAAUGUUUCUUCAUGCCUCCACUCAGGAUUUUUGUUGCAGAGCUGCUUCAGACCAAAAAAGUAUAAAUCUCAUAAGUAUAAAUAAAAUAUGAAUAGAAAAUGGCUUCCAUCACUAAUAUUUUUGCAAACUAAUGUUCAGCUGAUGCAACUCAAUUUUAUUUUGCAUCACAUUAGUGUCAUAAUGGUAAUGACUGGCCUUUAUUCACUAACAGUUUGAGUCAGCACUUUGAGACAUUUUUCAAAUUAGGUCAUACUGCAAAUUUGUGGCUGAUACAAAGGUUGAUUAAGAGAGCUUCACAAUUUUAAAGUGAUGUUGUGUGAGGAGAAUUAAGUCUUGUGUGAUAGUUCCAGGAAAUGUGAGCAACCAUAACUAAGCAGAAAUAAUGUAUGGGCCAUAGGGGGGAGAACAUAUUUCCACAGAGUGCUUGAAGUAAUACUCAUUUACAAUUUAACAAAGUCCUCUUCCUGUUAUGGAAGAAUUGUAUUAUGGGUCUUGAAAACAAGCAAUGAAUUACAAUAAGGACAUAGAAAGAUGUUCCCUGCUCUUGUUUCACUGAAAGUCAGUUCUCUUCUUCAUGUUCCUUUGAUCUUGUCAAUAAAGACCUUUUUUAUUCCAAGAGAA